UUGAACGCUGGCGGCAGGCCUAACACAUGCAAGUCGAGCGGAUGAAGGGAGCUUGCUCCUGGAUUCAGCGGCGGACGGGUGAGUAAUGCCUAGGAAUCUGCCUGGUAGUGGGGGAUAACGUCCGGAAACGGGCGCCAAUACCGCAUACGUCCUGAGGGAGAAAGUGGGGGAUCUUCGGACCUCACGCUAUCAGAUGAGCCUAGGUCGGAUUAGCUAGUUGGUGGGGUAAAGGCCUACCAAGGCGACGAUCCGUAACUGGUCUGAGAGGAUGAUCAGUCACACUGGAACUGAGACACGGUCCAGACUCCUACGGGAGGCAGCAGUGGGGAAUAUUGGACAAUGGGCGAAAGCCUGAUCCAGCCAUGCCGCGUGUGUGAAGAAGGUCUUCGGAUUGUAAAGCACUUUAAGUUGGGAGGAAGGGCAGUAAGUUAAUACCUUGCUGUUUUGACGUUACCAACAGAAUAAGCACCGGCUAACUUCGUG
rnacentral:rRNA from 1 species